rnacentral:rRNA from 1 species
GACGAACGCUGGCGGCGUGCCUAAUACAUGCAAGUCGAACGCUUCUUUCCUCCCGAGUGCUUGCACUCAAUUGGAAAGAGGAGUGGCGGACGGGUGAGUAACACGUGGGUAACCUACCCAUCAGAGGGGGAUAACACUUGGAAACAGGUGCUAAUACCGCAUAACAGUUUAUGCCGCAUGGCAUAAGAGUGAAAGGCGCUUUCGGGUGUCGCUGUUGGAUGGACCCGCGGUGCAUUAGCUAGUUGGUGAGGUAACGGCUCACCAAGGCCACGAUGCAUAGCCGACCUGAGAGGGUGAUCGGCCACACUGGGACUGAGACACGGCCCAGACUCCUACGGGAGGCAGCAGUAGGGAAUCUUCGGCAAUGGACGAAAGUCUGACCGAGCAACGCCGCGUGAGUGAAGAAGGUUUUCGGAUCGUAAAACUCUGUUGUUAGAGAAGAACAAGGACGUUAGUAACUGAACGUCCCCUGACGGUAUCUAACCAGAAAGACACGGCUAACUACGUG